GACGAAGCACGUAAGGGCAUACGGUGGAUGACUUGGCAGUGAAGAGCUGAUGAAAGACGUGGUAGCCUGCGAAAAGUUUCGGGGAGGUGGCAAACAACCUGUGAUCCGGAAAUGUCUGAAUGGGGAAACCCACAUGAGUAAAGCUCAUGUACCCACACCUGAAUACAUAGGGUGUGAGGGAGGCACCUAGGGAAGUGAAACAUCUCAGUACCUAGAGGAAAAGAAACAAACAUAAUCGGACUUUUUGUCACUCAUGAUCAGCAAUGGUCGUGGCGUGACAAAAAGUCCGAAGGAUUCCCUGAGUAGUGGCGAGCGAAACGGGACAAGCCUAAACCUAUAAAAACUAAAUUUUGAACUGAGACUACGCAAGUAUUCCGCAGACAAAAUGGCGAGCUUGGGCUGUCGUUUUAUAGGGGUUGAUGGGACCAACUGUGCUUUCCCCCAAGGGAAGCGCAUUUAAGACGCAUUAUAUAGUUGAACAAACUGGAAAGUUUGGCCAAAGACGGUGAUAGCCCGGUAGACGAAAUAUAGAGCGCUAGAUGAGUUGAGAUCCAAAGUACUACGAGGCCCGAGAAACCUCGUAGGAAGCAGCCACGACGAUGUGGCAAGGCUAAAUACUCUUCCUGACCGAUAGUGAACCAGUACAGUGAUGGAACGUUGAAAAGCAGCCCGGGAGGGCGAUGAAAUAGUAUCUGAAACCGUAUGCUUACAAGGAGGUGGAGCGGGCGCAAGUCCGUCACACCGUUCCUAUUGAAGAAUGAGCCAACGAGUGUGCUGUGUGUCGCUUGAUUAAGUCCCUGCGGGGAUGAAGUCACAGUGAAAGCGAGCCUGAAUAGGGCGUUGGUGGCACAUACACAACCCGAAACCCGGCGAUCUAUCCAUGACCAGGUUGAAGCAACGGUAAAACGUUGUGGAGG
rnacentral:rRNA from 1 species